GACGAACGCUGGCGGCGUGCUUAACACAUGCAAGUCGAACGGAAAGGCCCUGCUUUUGUGGGGUGCUCGAGUGGCGAACGGGUGAGUAACACGUGAGUAACCUGCCCUUGACUUUGGGAUAACUUCAGGAAACUGGGGCUAAUACCGGAUAGGAGCUCCUGCUGCAUGGUGGGGUUUGGAAAGUUUCGGCGGUUGGGGAUGGACUCGCGGCUUAUCAGCUUGUUGGUGGGGUAGUGGCUUACCAAGGCUUUGACGGGUAGCCGGCCUGAGAGGGUGACCGGCCACAUUGGGACUGAGAUACGGACCAGACUCCUACGGGAGGCAGAAGUGGGGAAUAUUGCACAAUGGGCGGAAGCCUGAUGAAGCAACGCCGCGUGCGGGAUGACGGCCUUCGGGUUGUAAACCGCUUUCGCCUGUGACGAAGCGUGAGUGACGGUAAUGGGUAAAGAAGCACCGGCUAACUACGUG
rnacentral:rRNA from 1 species